GGCUAGGGAGACCAGUUGAACAACUAUUAUAAUAGUCCAGGUGAGAGGUAAUGGCAUUAUGAGGUCAUAGUAUUUUAAUUGCUGUUAUUGGGGAAACUAGGUAGCUCAAUGGAUAGAGCACCAGGCCUAGAAAUGGGAGGUCCUGGGUUCAAAUGUGGCCUUGGAUACUUCCUAGCCAUGUAACCUUGGGCAAGACACUUAAACCCCAAUUGCCUUAGCCCCAUGGUGGCAAACCUAUGGCACACCUGCCAGAGGGAGCACUCAGAGACAACUGCUUCCCUCCCCCUCUCCACAUGUGCCUGAAGAUACCACUCAUCCCUCUAAAAGGUUCACCAUUACUGGCCUAGCCCUUACCACUCUUCUGCCUUAACAUCAAUAUUGAUUCUACAACAGAAGGUCAGCAGAAGACCACGAGGAACACGUGACAGAUUCGUCCUUUGGCUAACAGGUGAAGGUGCUUUCCUUGAACUGGUUAAACCCACGCGCAUGGCUGGGGUUGUAAACUGUGCGGCGAUUAGCCGGUCCCCCAUUAGAUUACAGCUCGGGCAGUGGUGCAGGAGGAGGAACCUGCGUGCCCCUCCCUCCCCUCCUCCUUGUACUUGCCACUGGCUCGUGGCCACCCAGUUUCUGGAGGAUGAAGUAAAAUAGCCAUUGCUACAUUAAUUUUGGAGUAGGUGGUCAUCCCUCUCAAGAAAUAAUAACAACAACAGCAGCAGCAGCACUUCUUCAUUUGCAAGCUCCUUGAGAGCAGGGACUUUUAAAAAAUUCAUUAUAAAUUGUAUUCCUGGUGCCUAACACAGGGCUUGGCAUGUAGUAGAUAGAAU
rnacentral:lncRNA from 1 species